GCUUUCCCCGACCUGACACAACAUCCUGCUGAGAUGUUGUUGGACCUGCAGUGUCAACAGUCGGGGAAAGC
rfam:Aschersonia aleyrodis RCEF 2490 scaffold_29, whole genome shotgun sequence.